AACACAUGCAAGUCGAACGGAGUAGAAAUACUUAGUGGCGGACGGGUGAGUAACGCGUGAGAAUCUGCCUUCAGGACGGAGACAACAGUUGGAAACGACUGCUAAGCCCCGAUGAACCGAAAGGGAAAAUAUUUAUAGCCUGAAGAUGAGCUCGCGUCCGAUUAGCUAGUUGGCGGAGUAAAAGCCCACCAAGGCGACGAUGGCUAGGGGUUCUGAGAGGAUGAUCCCCCACACUGGUACUGAGAUACGGACCAGACUCCUACGGGAGGCAGCAGUAGGGAAUAUUGGGCAAUGGACGAGAGUCUGACCCAGCCAUGCCGCGUGAAGGAUGAAGGCCUCCGGGUUGUAAACUUCUUUUAUCUGGGAAGAAAUGCCUGUUUUCUAACGGGUUUGACGGUACC
rnacentral:rRNA from 1 species